rnacentral:misc_RNA from 1 species
UACGUAGGGCGCAAGCGUUGUCCGGAAUUAUUGGGCGUAAAGAGCUCGUAGGCGGUCUGUCACGUCGGCUGUGAAAACCUGAGGCUCAACCUCAGGCCUGCAGUCGAUACGGGCAGACUAGAGUACUGCAGGGGAGACUGGAAUUCCCGGUGUAGCGGUGGAAUGCGCAGAUAUCAGGAGGAACACCGGUGGCGAAGGCGGGUCUCUGGGCAGUAACUGACGCUGAGGAGCGAAAGCGUGGGGAGCAAACAGG